UAGCCAUGGUGCGGGCAAUGAUUCAACAAAUCUUUGAAUCUUUCCCAGACAUGGCAUAACGGUUCAUUGUCCUUUUGGGAAAAUGUAGAAUUUUUUUGUUUUAGACU